CAGAGGGUGCUAGCGUUGUUCGGAAUUACUGGGCGUAAAGGGCGCGUAGGCGGUCCGCUAAGUUCGGUGUGAAAGCCCCUGGCUCAACUGGGGAACGGCGCUGGAAACUGGCGGACUCGAGUACCGGAGAGGAGAGUGGAAUUCCUGGUGUAGCGGUGAAAUGCGUAGAUAUCAGGAGGAACACCGGUGGCGAAGGCGGCUCUCUGGACGGAUACUGACGCUGAGGCGCGAAAGCGUGGGGAUCAAACAGGAUUAGAUACCCUGGUAGUCCACGCUGUAAACGAUGGGGACUAGGUGUGGGGGGUAUUGACCCUCCCGUGCCGCCGCUAACGCAUUAAGUCCCCCGCCUGGGGAUUACGGCCGCAAGGUUA
rnacentral:rRNA from 1 species